CGACAUGAAAACAUAUAGGCCUAGGGAAAUGGUGAUUUAGAGGACAGCUUGUUUGACACUUGUGUAACUGAAUAAACACUGUUAAAAGUACACACAGGUUUCUGCCGUCUUGUUUACUAACACAGCAUAGUCAGUGGUUUUAUAUCCACAACAAAUAACAACAACAACAACAAACAACAACAAAUAAAUCACAAUAUAGCAACGUGCAUGAUAGAUUAAAAAUAAAUUGCGAAGUUUCCAUGUAAUGGGUGGGAGGCUGGGAGCUCUACCCACUGCACUAGUAUUCCCUUUCAAUUAUCUUGGACUAAACCAGUUAAAAUCAACAAUGAGAUAAAAGUAUUAACCAAGAAAAAAACAAACGGAAUGGAAGAGGAAUUUAGUUAAUUUUUGGGAUAUUUCCGGCCUAUCACCCUAAAUCUUAAAGGUUGUAUAGGUGAUUUGCUUUUUUGGCCAUUUUUGCAAAAUUACUUGAAAUCCUUAUCAUAACCCGCUUACAGCCACUGAGUUAGAAGUACUGACAUGAAAAUUAAACAAGUCAAUCAUCUGUGGAACGGGCAGGGCUCGAAAAACUCCAGCCAAUCAUUUCCAUUGCCACCGAGUUGCAUUGGACAGUAAGUACGUCAAUCAAACGGUCGUACUGCACUCCCCCUCCCCCGCGCCCCGCGCGCAACCCCUUCGUGCAGUACUCGUGACCCAGAGCUCGUGACCCAGAGCAAGCUCCUGUUUGUUGUUAUCCUGCGGUAGCUACUGGAACUAGUUAAUCCACAUUUGGACCUAGCAGUAGAAGACAAUUUCCAUGGCAGACAAAGGAAAACUCUUUUUCAGAGAGUAAUUGAUAAUAAAAACGCUGAAAGAGAAAAACUGAAAUCAAGAAUAAUCCUAGGCGCUGCUUUCGAACGUUGGCGGGAACUGAAGGACGAGAAGGGUCUAAAAACCGAUGCUUGUGUGGCGGUUGACCUAGUUUCAAAGUUUAUACCGUUUAUACUCGGUAAUACCGGUGUGGAGACGAGUGUAUUACUCGGUGUGAAAAUGUCCACACCGCGGCAACCCUAGUGAAAACCAGGACUUCCAAUACAAUUAUAUGAAACAAACAUACAUUUUCUAAAAAUAGUA
rnacentral:lncRNA from 1 species